GACUGGGAGGCACAAAAGAAGGACGAGGAGAAGAAAAAUAAACGAGGGAGCCGCAGUGGGGAAAAGCGAUGGAUACAACGAAUGGACCAAUCUCUUUGGCUUCCUUUUUCUUUUUCUUUUUCUUUUUUUUUUUCUUUUUC
rnacentral:miRNA from 1 species